rnacentral:pre_miRNA from 1 species
AUCACCUGGGGAUCUUGUUAAACUGCAAAUUCUGAUUAGGUAGGUCUAGGUUGUGGCCUGAGGUUCUGCAUUUUUAACAGGUUCCCAGGUGAUGACAG